rnacentral:rRNA from 1 species
GACGAACGCUGGCGGCGUGCCUAAUACAUGCAAGUCGAGCGGACCUCUUCGGAGGUUAGCGGCGGACGGGUGAGUAACACGUGGGCAACCUGCCUGUAAGACUGGGAUAACUCCGGGAAACCGGAGCUAAUACCGGAUAGUAUCUUGAACCGCAUGGUUCAAGCUGGAAAGACGGUUUCGACUGUCACUUACAGAUGGGCCCGCGGCGCAUUAGCUAGUUGGUGAGGUAAUGGCUCACCAAGGCAACGAUGCGUAGCCGACCUGAGAGGGUGAUCGGCCACCAUGGGACUGAGACACGGCCGCGACUCCUACGGGAGGCAGCAGUAGGGAAUCUUCCGCAAUGGACGAAAGUCUGACGGAGCAACGCCGCGUGAGUGAUGAAGGUUUUCGGAUCGUAAAACUCUGUUGUUAGGGAAGAACAAGUGCGAGAGUAACUGCACGCACCCUGACGGUACCUAACCAGAAAGCCACGGCUAACUACGUGCCAGCCGCCGCUGUAAGAC